rnacentral:lncRNA from 1 species
GCUCCAUGUUUUGUGAACGUCUUUCUUAACUGUCGUAUUAGACUGACCAGUGCAUAUCGCGCAUGGCACUUUAAAUGUAUUUUAGCGCGAAAAUUAAAUUACAUUUAGCUGGAUUUAUUGCCGUCGUAGUUCCAUCUUGUCGCCUUCGUACUUUUAUUCGAUGGAAACACGACGGGAUUACGAGGUCUUCACGAAGUCGUGUUGCCAUCGUA